rnacentral:rRNA from 1 species
UACGAAGGGGGCUAGCGUUGCUCGGAAUUACUGGGCGUAAAGGGCGCGUAGGCGGCGAGAUCAGUCAGGCGUGAAAUUCCUGGGCUUAACCUGGGGGCUGCGCUUGAUACGGUCUUGCUAGAGGUCAGAAGAGGGUCGUGGAAUUCCCAGUGUAGAGGUGAAAUUCGUAGAUAUUGGGAAGAACACCGGUGGCGAAGGCGGCGACCUGGUCUGAUACUGACGCUGAGGCGCGACAGCGUGGGGAGCAAACAGG